rnacentral:rRNA from 1 species
UGCAAGUCGAGCGGGGAAGGGUAGCUUGCUACCUAACCUAGCGGCGGACGGGUGAGUAAUGCUUAGGAAUUUGCCUAUUAGUGGGGGACAACAUUCCGAAAGGAAUGCUAAUACCGCAUACGCCCUACGGGGGAAAGCAGGGGAUUUUUGGACCUUGCGCUAAUAGAUGAGCCUAAGUCAGAUUAGCUAGUUGGUGGGGUAAAGGCCUACCAAGGCGACGAUCUGUAGCGGGUUUGAGAGGAUGAUCCGCCCCACUGGGACUGAGACACGGCCCCGACUCCUACGGGAGGCAGCAGUGGGGAAUUUUGGACAAUGGGCGAAAGCCUGAUCCAGCCCUGCCGCGUGAGUGAAGAAGGCCUUCGGGUUGUAAAGCUUUUUUGUCCGGGAGGAAAUCCUGGCCUUUAAUACAGGUCGGGGAUGACCGUACUAGGAGAAUAAGCACCGGCUAACUACGUG